ACGCUGGCGGCAGGCCUAACACAUGCAAGUCGAACGGUAACAGGAAGAAGCUUGCUUCUUUGCUGACGAGUGGCGGACGGGUGAGUAAUGUCUGGGAAACUGCCUGAUGGAGGGGGAUAACUACUGGAAACGGUAGCUAAUACCGCAUAACGUCGCAAGACCAAAGAGGGGGACCUUCGGGCCUCUUGCCAUCGGAUGUGCCCAGAUGGGAUUAGCUUGUUGGUGGGGUAACGGCUCACCAGGCGACGAUCCCUAGCUGGUCUGAGAGGAUGACCAGCCACACUGGAACUGAGACACGGUCCAGACUCCUACGGGAGGCAGCAGUGGGGAAUAUUGCACAAUGGGCGCAAGCCUGAUGCAGCCAUGCCGCGUGUAUGAAGAAGGCCUUCGGGUUGUAAAGUACUUUCAGCGGGGAGGAAGGGAGUAAAGUUAAUACCUUUGCUCAUUGACGUUACCCGCAGAAGAAGCACCGGCUAACUCCGUGCCAGCAGCCGCGGUAAUACGGAGGGUGCAAGCGUUAAUCGGAAUUACUGGGCGUAAAGCGCACGCAGGCGGUUUGUUAAGUCAGAUGUGAAAUCCCCGGGCUCAACCUGGGAACUGCAUCUGAUACUGGCAAGCUUGAGUCUCGUAGAGGGGGGUAGAAUUCCAGGUGUAGCGGUGAAAUGCGUAGAGAUCUGGAGGAAUACCGGUGGCGAAGGCGGCCCCCUG
rnacentral:rRNA from 1 species